rnacentral:rRNA from 1 species
CAGUCGCCGCGGUAAGACAGAGGAUGCAAGCGUUAUCCGGAAUGAUUGGGCGUAAAGCGUCUGUAGGUGGCUUUUCAAGUCCGCCGUCAAAUCCCAGGGCUCAACCCUGGACAGGCGGUGGAAACUACCAAGCUGGAGUACGGUAGGGGCAGAGGGAAUUUCCGGUGGAGCGGUGAAAUGCGCUGAGAUCGGAAAGAACACCCGUGGCGAAAGCGAGUCCCUGGACCCUUUCUGACGCUGAGACGCGAAAGCCAGGGGAGCGAACGGGAUUAGAGACCCCAGUAGUCCCUGUCUCUUAUAC